rnacentral:lncRNA from 1 species
UUUGAUAUUGCAGAAGUAGAGUUAUGUUUCAUUAAGUAUAGAUUACAUAAACUGAAGUUAUUAUUAUUAUCUUUUUUGUGCAGCAUUCGUUGAGAAAAUGCAAUCCAGUGGAGACCUUAAUCUGAUUGGGCAGUUUGGAGUUGGGUUCUACUCUGUAUAUCUUGUAGCUGACUAUGUCGAAGUCAUUAGUAAACACAAUGAUGACAAACAGUGAGUCUUCUAGCUUCAAUGUAGUUCUUAUGGUAAUGUUUGACUGAUUGUUGAACUAUUAUUUGGUUAAUAUGUUUUACUCUUUAGGUAUGUAUGGGAAUCGAAGGCGGAUGGGGCAUUUGCAAUUUCCGAGGAUACUUGGAAUGAACCACUUGGACGUGGGACUGAGAUUAGAUUGCAUCUUAGGGAUGAAGCUCAGGAGUAUUUGGAGGAAAGCAAAUUGAAGGUUAGCAACUUGAGUUUUGCAUGUUUACAUAGCCUAUUCUUUGGGUAUGCUGAUUUUCAUUUGUGAAAUAUUUUCUAUUAUGGUACCAUCCUUUGAAAUGUUAUUUCCGUGAACUUGUAAUUUGAUGUAUUGACUUAAACUUGGCCUUUUGAAGAUAUGCUAACAAAGCAUGCUGUGUUUCUCAUCUGCAGGAGUUGGUGAAGAAAUAUUCUGAGUUCAUCAACUUCCCCAUCUAUAUCUGGGCAAGCAAAGAGGUUGAUGUUGAGGUGCCUGCAGAUGAAGAUGAGUCAAGUGAUGAGGAGGAAACCUGUAUGUAUUAGCUAGCCUGUUAAUGUUUAUUUAAAACUUUUCUUUUUCCUUAAUGCUGUAAGAGUAGGCAUGUUUUGAUUAACUGAUUAUAGUUUUUGGUUUCCUUCUCUUUUAUUUUCACAAACAGCCGAUAGCGGCUCUUCCGAGGAAGGAGAAGAUGAAGAUGCUGAGAAAAGUGAGGAUGAUGAUGCUGAAAAGAAAUCAAAGACAAAGAAGGUGAAGGAAACUACUUAUGAAUGGGAACUUCUGAAUGAUGUUAAAGCCAUAUGGUUGCGCAGUCCAAAGGAGGUGACAGAUGAAGAAUACGCGAAACUCUAUCACUCUCUAGCUAAGGUAAUUUUCCAUAUAUUUUCUAGCUCCAUACUACCGAAAGCAUUAUAGAGAAGUUUCUAUCACUUAUAGAUGCAUAUUUCUGCUUCUCUGCAGGACUUUAGUGAUGAGAAGCCCUUGGCCUGGAGCCACUUCACUGCUGAAGGUGAUGUCGAGUUCAAGGCCGUUUUGUUUGUGCCUCCUAAGGCUUCUCAGGAUCUAUAUGAGAGUUACUAUAACACCAAUAAAGCCAACUUGAAGUUGUAUGUCCGACGAGUUUUUAUCUCUGAUGAAUUUGAUGAGCUUUUGCCAAAGUAUCUUAGCUUCUUGAAGGUAAUAGAAGACAUUCCAUGUUAUUUUAGUUGACUUGAAUCUUCACUAAUGAGUUUUCUGAGUUGUUUUUUUAUUGUUUACCUGUUGAGCAGGGUCUUGUUGAUUCUGAUACUCUGCCUCUCAAUGUGUCACGAGAGAUGCUGCAAGCCCACAGCAGUUUGAAAACAAUCAAGAAAAAACUCAUCAGGAAAGCCCUUGAUAUGAUUUGUAAAAUUGCCGAGGAGGAUCCUGAUGAGUCGAGUGGAAAAGAUGAGAAAGGUAUUGUAUAUUGAUUUCGUAUAGAAUUAAAUUUAAUUUGCUAGUACUUCUCCGCUAGACUUGGCCUACCACUAGCCUUUGACAAUGAAACUAUUCUAUUCCAACUUAUUUCUGGGUGAAUAUUGAUACUGAAUAUGAUGGGGAUGCAGAAGUGGAAACAUCUGGUGAUGAUGAUGAGAAAAAGGGACAAUACACCAAGUUCUGGAAUGAAUUUGGAAAAUCCAUUAAACUCGGCAUCAUUGAGGAUGCAACCAAUAGAAAUCGCUUGGCAAAACUCCUUCGAUUUGAGAGGUAUUUAACUUUGUAUAUGGUAUUUAGGCAUGAGCAUUGUAUUGGUAAAAUCAAGAAACCGAACUGAACUGAUUAGUUUGAUUGGUUUAAAAGCGUCAAAUUUCAGUUGUGUGUAAAACCAAGCAGCAUUAUUUGGAUUAGUUUGGAUCCUGAAACUUAAAAACAAGUAUUUGGCCUUGAUUUGUUUUUCCUUUUAGUCGAGUCCAAACAGAAGCAUUCUUUGCACAUGAUAAUCACUUUUCUGCUAGUAACUAAUGAGUAAUGGUGUAUGAAUUGCAUUGCAGCACCAAGUCGGAUGGUAAAUUGACAUCACUUGAUCAGUACAUCUCAAGGAUGAAAUCCGGACAGAAAGAUAUAUUCUACAUUACAGGAACCAGCAAGGAACAAUUAGAAAAAUCUCCUUUCUUGGAGAGGCUUAAGAAGAAAAAUUAUGAGGUAACUGCUAAAGCAUUCCGAACCAACUUUUCUCAUCUGCCUUUUUACUUAAUUUAUAUCUCUUUUUCAAUCUGUGCUUGGGUUCUAAUGACCUUUGUUGUUUCCAGGUAAUUUUCUUCACUGAUCCUGUUGAUGAGUACCUGAUGCAAUACCUUAUGGAUUAUGAGGGAAAGCAGUUCCAAAAUGUAUCCAAGGAGGGCCUGAAAAUCGGGAAAGAAAAGAACAAAGAACUCAAGGAGUCAUUUAAGGAACUAACUAAAUGGUGGAAGAACGCACUUGCUAGUGAUAAUGUUGAUGAAGUGAAAAUAAGCAACCGUUUGGACAACACUCCUUGUGUGGUCGUUACAUCAAAAUACGGAUGGAGUGCUAAUAUGGAGAGAAUCAUGCAAUCUCAAACCCUAUCUGAUUCUAGCAAGCAAGCUUACAUGCGUGGCAAGAGGAUCCUAGAGAUUAACCCAAGACACCCUAUCAUCAAGGAGCUUCGUGAGAGAGUUGCCAAGGACUCUGAGGUACCUAUCUAUAUAUGUAAACAGCAGCAUGCAUGUUUGUUGAGUCGGUAUUCAGUUUUAUUUCAUUUGAUGAAAUCAUUUGGUGGAUCUUACAGGAUGAGGGUGUGAAGCAAACGGCUCUGCUUAUUUACCAGACAGCUCUAAUGGAGAGUGGUUUCAAUCUACCCAAUCCCAAGGACUUUGCUUCACGCAUCUACAGCUCAGUGAAAUCUAGCCUUAAUAUCAGUCCUGAUGCAACAAUUGAAGACGAUGAUGAUGUAGAAGAAACCGAGAUAGAGUCGGAGACAAAAGAAAGUGCAGGCAAAGAUGAGUUGUAGAUUGCCUGAAACCUCGGGGAUAUAUUGCCUGAAACCUCGGGGAUAUAUACUCUUUGAGUUUGUUUUACCCUCUGUAGACAUUCACGAUUGAACUGAAACAUGCAUUUUCAAGUCUGAAACUAGGAUAAAAAGAAAAUUUACGUAGUUCUUUCAUUUCGGGUGUUGAGAAGUCUCAUCGAUUUUGUCUGUGGAAUGUGUUUUUGUUGACAGUAUAUACUGGUUUGCAUGAUUAGCUUGUUUGGAAGGUAUAUUAUGGUGGCUUCUUUUUAAUUUUGAUGACGAUGAUCUGUUUUAGAAGUAAAAGAACAUUCGGUUCUACAUUUAAGAGCACUGUUCUAGGGAUGCCUAGUGCAUUAGGAGUUUCAUUAAUGAUCUUUGAUAUACGUUUGGAGAUCCACUUUGAUUUCGAGUACAUCAUACAAGGCAGUCUUUUCCGUCCCAAGAACUUGUAACACUUUACCUGGCUAAUGGGGGUUUUAGUGAUACUAUACUUCGAUAGUCUGUAGUUGUCUAACAUAUUGUCCUUUCUCAACCAACUUUUCACGACCUCCUUGAACACUCCGAUCAUGGUAGCGCAAGUUCUGUCUAUAUCAUGCCUAUUGGGUACCCAUGUAUCAUGCACUAAAACUCAAAUAGCAAAUGCUUGUCCUCAUUCCAGUGAUAAAGAGGAAGAAAAAACUUGAUUGUAUUGUGUUUUGUUAUCUUUUGAGAGCUUUUAUUACCUCUCUUGCAUCACUCAUCCAAAUGCAUGAAUGGUCAUGGCGGUCAAUAUUUGGAUAAUUGCAUGUUUUCUUUUGUUUUUCUGUGUACAUUUAAAAUCUGCGUUGAAAAUACGGAAUCAAGUAAUUUCUCACUUCUGAUUAAUGGAUUUUCACUGAGCCCAACCAUUCGAACUCCUUGAUGCCUUAUUCUGUAACGAGCUUCAUGCUAUCGUAUUUUUUCUUGCUCGCAACAAAACCCAAAAAUACAUUGAAAACUGAUUCAGACCGUAGUCUUUGGUUCAGUUUUAUUUAAUUUGGUUCGGUUGGUCAAAAUUCACAAAUUAAAAAAUUGUAAUUAUACAAGCUAAAGCGAAUCUUAUUUUUAAUUAAGUUUUUUACCUUGUAAGUGCGAUUGUAUUUAUUACAGGAUCAAUAAAUUCAAUUCAGACAGAUUUAAAUUAUAAAUACAUAGAUACAUACCUAUUGAUAGUUUUGAGGAUGUAAUAAUUUUUUAUUUAAGUAAAAUAUCAUAGAAACAAAUAUUUCCGAUAAUAGUUCAGGGACAUCCUAUGCUAAAGUCAAAUUAUAUUUUACUUUUUUUAUUUAAAAAAGUUUCUAUACAUUAGAUUUAAAAAUUAUCUAUUUUUACUAUUAAAAAUUAGUCUUUAUACUUCAAUAUGAGUUAUAUGUGAUAUGUCACAUGAUGUUGUAUGGAUAUUCUCCCAUCCAUCUUAGAUUUUAAUAUUAUAAUUAAAUGAAUUUUUAAUAAAAAUAGGGGUAGCUAAAGGGUUGGUAGGGGCCCCGAUCCCUUAAAAUAAAAAAAAUUCAUUUAAAUCUUUUAAAAUUUUAAAUUAAUAAAGAUAAAGAUUGCACUGUGACUCUCUUAUAAAUAAAAAUUCGAUUUAAUUCUUUAAAAAUAAAAAAGAUAUACUAUUAAAAUUAUAAAAUUAUAUUUUUACUAUAAUAAAAAUUAUAAUUUAAUUUUAAUUUCUAAAAAAAUUUUCACUUCACCCUAAAUAUAAGAAAUCAAUUUACUUUUUAACUUAUUAUAUAAAAACUAUUUUAAAGAUACAUUUAUUUAAUGUAUAGAAAUUGAUUUACAGAAGAGAUAGAUCCACAUGGAAAGGAGAAGGAAAACACACAGAACUGUAAGGCAAGGAUAGUAAUAAAGAACAAUCUAGAAAUCGUGAUUCAUACACCUCCAAGCAUAUUACGCGACGUUUACAGCAAAACCGAGUCGUUCGAUCGUUUGAUGAUCAUCAGGUCAAGUUGACUAAAGAGUUGAAGUCGUCCGAUAUGGGGCCUGCCUGCCCAUAACACACGGCCACGUCAAAGAAACAAAUCCAAACCAAUAAAAUCAUGCCACGUCUCAACAAACCAAAUCAUUAGCCGUUAGAUCCUCCACGCUGGCGCCAAAAACCAAUUAACAUAAUCUUUUCCAUCGCAAAAAACAUUGCUAAACUCCCCCCCACCUAUUUAAGAACUCCCAAGCCUGCACUGAAGGCAAAGCUACUAUAUUUCAAAAAAAAAAAAAAACAAAAAAAAACAAACAAAGGUAGCCUAAGCAAACUAUGAGGAAGUGGGCGAUCCCUUCCGCUUUGGUUCUUCUUUGCCUUCUCAGUCUCCUAUCAGAUCAUGGUAAGCUUACGCCACUUUUCCUUUUUAUUGUUUUUUUUUAUUUCUUGAUUGUGAAAUGCUGAAUCCAGAUCUACACUUGUUUCAGGGAGAAAAGUACAAGCAAAUGCCGAGGAAGGAGCUGUAGAUCCUCCUAAAGUCGAGGAAAAGAUCGGCGCUGUGCCUAAUGGCUUACAAACUGAUUCUGAUGUAGUUAAAAGGUUAGCAUAAUUUUUGUUUUGGAAUAUACUUUUCAUUACUUUGUUCUUUUUUGUUUACUUGAAUUUUGAAUCCGAAUGUUCUUACUAGGGAAUCGGAAUCCAUCUCUUCGAGAUCGCUUCGCAAUAAUGCGGAGAAGUUUGAGUUCCAAGCUGAAGUGUCUCGGCUUAUGGAUAUCAUUAUCAAUUCUCUUUAUAGCAACAAGGAUAUUUUCCUCAGGGAGUUGAUCUCCAAUGCUUCUGAUGUAAGUUUUAUGUCUUUCCUUUUUUGAAUUGUUUUUAGUAAUUUUUUGGAACUCGAUGUUGAAUCAUUGUUUUUAUUCUAAUUUAAGGCACUGGACAAGAUUAGGUUCCUUUCACUCACAGACAAAGAAGUUUUGGGUGAAGGCGACACUUCCAAGCUGGAUAUCCAGGUCAGUUCUUCAAACUAAAACUUUAUCUUAUUGAAAUUUAAUUACAGAGAACUCUGGUUACCACUUAAUUAGAAUGAGCCUGCUCUAUAAUGUCGUUGCUGAGCCUUAAAAAUGCAAUGAAAUUGCAGAUUAAGUUGGACAAAGAGAAGAAGAUUCUUUCCCUUCGUGACAGAGGUAUAGGAAUGACAAAAGAAGAUUUAAUCAAGAACUUGGGAACAAUUGCGAAAUCUGGAACUUCUGGUAACUAAAUCUUUAUAUUUGAUAUUGCAGAAGUAGAGUUAUGUUUCAUUAAGUAUAGAUUACAUAAACUGAAGUUAUUAUUAUUAUCUUUUUUGUGCAGCAUUCGUUGAGAAAAUGCAAUCCAGUGGAGACCUUAAUCUGAUUGGGCAGUUUGGAGUUGGGUUCUACUCUGUAUAUCUUGUAGCUGACUAUGUCGAAGUCAUUAGUAAACACAAUGAUGACAAACAGUGAGUCUUCUAGCUUCAAUGUAGUUCUUAUGGUAAUGUUUGACUGAUUGUUGAACUAUUAUUUGGUUAAUAUGUUUUACUCUUUAGGUAU